UACGUAGGGGGCUAGCGUUGUCCGGAAUCAUUGGGCGUAAAGCGCGUGUAGGCGGUCCGGUAAGUCCGCUGUGAAAGUCGGGGGCUCAACCCUCGGAUGCCGGUGGAUACUGUCGGGCUAGAGUGCGGGAGAGGCGAGUGGAAUUCCUGGUGUAGCGGUGAAGUGCGCAGAUAUCAGGAGGAACACCAAUUGCGAAGGCAGCUCGCUGGAACGUAACUGACGCUGAGACGCGAAAGCGUGGGGAGCAAACAGG
rnacentral:rRNA from 1 species